rnacentral:lncRNA from 1 species
CCAUAUCACCUUACAGACGUGGCCACGCUGAGAUGCGUCACGUGCUUAAUUCAUAAAGGCGCUGCUUCCUGGUGGAAACCCCGCCUCCUGGGCCAUUGCGGGCAGCCUGUAGGUUUCUGUCUUCUCUCUGGGCCUGGAAGGAGGCGGUAGCUGAUAAGCUACACAAAUAAGAUGCAGCCUGGUGCUGAUGAAACGUCCAUUUUCUUGGGGAAAUGGCUGACAGGAGCAGGAUAAGGCUGUGAGGAAGCUAGCAGCAAUUUCCCAAAUCUACCACUACCACUGAGCUUUAUUUGCAUGCUUAGAGCUAUUAUUAGCAAAACAAUGGCUGGAAAAUGUACCAGAGAGAAAAUUAAGAAAUGACAGACCUGUUUUUAAAAAGUAAGAGAAAAUCUGCCUUUGUGAAGUUUUGUAAAGUUUUUCGAAGUAGAAAGUUUGACUUUAGCAAGAUACAGCAUCCAACCAUGGCGCCCUGGGAAGGAAAGAGCGAGCCCCAGCUGUCAAGGGCCGCUGCCCAGACAGAAGCAUGAGUUCAGGGCUCUCUGCAAGCGAACAGAAGCACAGCGCUUGCCUUACAAUCCCAAGGCCACCUGUGAACCAUGGCGCAGGUGCUGAUGCGGUGGAGAGGGCAUGCAGGAGUGUGGUCCUGAAUGGAGAAAGCUAUUGUUUCUGAAGAGUAACAGAAAGGACUCUGUUCGGGCUGUGCUGUCCACCUCGGUGGCCACCUGCCACAUGUGCCUAUGGAGCACUUGCAAUGUGGCUGGUCUGAUUGAGAUGUGCUGUAAGUGUAAAAUACACGCCAAAGUUCAAAGAAUUAGCCUGAAAAAAAGAACGCAAGAUACAUCAGUAGUCAUUUUCAAGAUCGACUACAUAUUGAAAUGACAAUAUUUUGGUUAGAUUGGACUAAAUAAAAUAUAUUGUUAAAAUGAAUGCUACAACAUGGAUGAAGCUUGAAAACAUUGUCCUUAGUGACAGAAGCUAGACAUAAAAGGCCACCCAUUGUAUGAUUCCACUUACAGGAAAUGGUCAAGAGGCAAAUCCCUAGAGACAGAAGGUUUUUCCAAUCUUUCAGUCACUACUGGUCAAGUUUUCUGUGGAUACGGGCAACUAUCAACUAUUAAGACUAUGGAACAAAAAAGAAAGAAGGAACAUCAAAUGUUUAUUUCUUGCUCUAGAAGUUAAGAUAUUUUUAUCUACCUGUGAAAGAGAGAAAGACAAA